rnacentral:pre_miRNA from 1 species
UAUGGAAUCGCUGGAUCAUAUAGUGGAUGUAUAUUUUGAGAAAUUGCCAAACUUUUUUCCAAAGUGCUUGUACUAUUUCACAUUUCACUAGCAAU